rnacentral:rRNA from 1 species
CCUACGGGUGGCAGCAGUGGGGGAUAUUGCACAAUGGGGGGAACCCUGAUGCAGCGACGCCGCGUGUGGGAAGACGGUCCUCUGGAUUGUAAACCACUGUCCCCAGGGACGAAAAUGACGGUACCUGGGGAGGAAGCUCCGGCUAACUACGUGCCAGCAGCCUCGGUAAUACGUAGGGGGCAAGCGUUAUCCGGAUUUACUGGGUGUAAAGGGAGCGUAGACGGUAUGGCAAGUCUGAAGUGAAAGCCUAGGGCUGAACCCUGGGAUUGCUUUGGAAACUGUUAGACUCGAGUGCUGGAGAGGUAAGUGGAAUUCCUAGUGUAGCGGUGAAAUGCGUAGAUAUUAGGAGGAACACCAGUGGCGAAGGCGGCUUACUGGACAGUAACUGACGUUGAGGCUCGAAAGUGUGGGGAGCAAACAGGAUUAGAUACCCGUGUAGUC